GGACGGGACGGGAGGCAAGUGGGCGGGGGCACAGCACAGCGGUGGUCAGUGGUAAGUGGUGGUCUAGUCUAGUGGCUGGCUGGCGCUCUGCCGCCCGCGCAGCCACAAGCCCCCCCAGCGCACGCCGUCCCCUUCCCCGUUCCCAAUCUCUCCGCCUCCCCUCCCCAACCAAACCAAACGCACGGCCACACCGCCGCUGCGCCACCACCCACACACUCCCACCCACCAUCACGCCACGCCUGCAGAGCCAGAGACUCUGAGCCGCCGUGCCGACGCCGACGCCUACGCCGAGCGCCCGCACGCUCCGCUCCCAUGGUCUCCGCCAACCAGCCGCCGCCCGACGCGGCCGCGGCAGCGGCGGGCUCGGCUGGGGAGGACGCCAGCAAGAAGGUGCGGAAGCCGUACACCAUCACCAAGUCGCGCGAGAGCUGGACGGAGCAGGAGCACGACAAGUUCCUUGAGGCCCUCCAGCUCUUUGAUCGUGAUUGGAAAAAGAUAGAAGCUUUUGUUGGAUCGAAGACUGUUAUUCAGAUUAGGAGCCAUGCACAGAAGUAUUUUUUGAAGGUUCAAAAGAAUGGAACAAGUGAGCAUGUCCCACCUCCACGACCAAAGCGUAAAGCUGCUCAUCCAUACCCUCAAAAGGCCUCCAAAAAUGAGCCAGGAUAUACCAUAAAGGCAGAUUCAUCUUCCAUGCUUAGGAACUCAGGCAUGAAUGCCACUGUUUCGUCAUGGACACACAAUUCUAUCCCACCAAUUGUAGCCUCAUCCAUGGUGAAAGAAGAUUUAAUCCUUAUCUUCUUUCACUCAGAAGAUUUAGGUGCUGGAGCAAUGGCCCCCAACAAUUUUUGCUCUAGCAGUACUGAAGGCCCUGCGAGGGCAUGGCAACCUGGUGAAACUAAUGAUCAGAUAAAUCAAGUUCCGUCACUCCGCCUUAUGCCAGAUUUUGCACAAGUAUACAGCUUCUUGGGCAGCGUUUUCGAUCCAAGCACAAGUGGCCAUUUACAGAAACUAAAGGAGAUGAAUCCAAUUGAUGUUGAGACGGCAUUGUUGUUAAUGAGAAAUCUCUCCAUCAAUUUGACUAGUCCUGAUUUUGAAGAUCAGCAGGGUUGCCCAUUUGCCAUGGUUUCUGGUACUGUCUGUGCAGAAUGGCUGGAAUGUAUGGGCAGCUAUCAGAAAAUGUGUGCAAAGUCACCAAAUUUUAGCAAACUUUUGAAACUAUCAGAAAUUUUUGGUAUGUACCAAUAUCAAAUUUUCUCCAGUACAGCAGGUCUUAAGUUCUAGCCCUUCUCUUGUAACACACAAUUGAGAUGAUGUAUAUAAGCCAUAACAUUAUGAAGCAUGAGGGCAUCCAAAAUAAUAAUAAUAAUAAUAAUAAAAGGUUGAUACCAUAUUGAAUUUUCUUUUCAAAAGAGUUACUCACCACUGAAAAAAAUAGCUUUCUUUAGUAUGUUGGACAUGCUGUGCAUCAUAGCAAUUUGAAAUAGGAUGUCAUUUACAAGGCUACACAAUUAUGGCAUUCAGUAUGCUUCCAUUACCCAAUUAGAGCAUAUGUCUGUUCUUCUGAAAAAAGGAACUAACCUGUGUCCUAUGAAAUUUAUUAUAGAAGAAGUUGCUAUCUUCAUACAGUACCCCGUCUGAUGGGCUUGAGCUAGGAAGCACCAGAAGCUCAGUUCUAGCUGAUAGACCAUUAAGUGCUCCAUUCAUGAUUAAGGGCGAAUAGUGCUGAGAAAGUGUGAGGUCUCUUCCCUGGCCAAACUGGCUAAAAGGUGCUGAGAAGUCUCUCCACCGAUAAUUUCAGCUCGUCAGUCAUUCGGAGCUUGGUGAAGCACUAGGAAGGCACUUUGCAACAUUGUAUCUCUAGCUAAGCUUCAAGCCUUCAACUGCAGAAUGUGUAAGGGUGCAACCGUGUACAGUAGGCUUGCACAGGUGAGAUCUGUCUAUAGCGGUAUAAUAGCCUAAUUGUGUAUAUAUGUUAGCCCUGAAGCGUGUAGUUUUCCUCACCCAAUACCUCGGUCGCCUUGGCGCGCAAAUCUUUCUCUAGUUAAAAGGCUGUUCUUAGUAAUGGGAAAUGGAAAGGAAAUUUUGAGUGAUGCUGGAUUGCUGGUUGCUCCCUUUUUCCUCCAUUGAGUUCAGCUGGUGAUGGCAUUCUCGUUUCUGUCAUCUGGCAGAGAAGGCACUACUGCCCCAAGUGACCCAUGGCAUAGCCAGAAACAGAAUGCUCCAUCAGUCCAUCUGAUGAGAUAUGUGUGAAGAGGUUUCAGCUGAGCUGAUUAUAGUGCUGUAAAGCGGCUUAGCACUAUGUAAAUCAUGUGUUAUGCACCAUGUAUCAUGUAUGAUCCUUGGAAGUUCUGGAUGCAAAAGUGAGUUGUGCACUUGCCAUGUAAGUUCUCUAUGAUGAAAAAGGCCAAGUGUACUAUUGUCUAUGUAUAUCAUUUCAGUUUUUGCAUAACUGCAAUCGGUAAGGAGUGAAAGCCUCCGGAUACCUACCGGGAUUUGAAUA